rnacentral:rRNA from 1 species
GAUGAACGCUGGCGGCGUGCCUAAUACAUGCAAGUCGAGCGAACAGACGAGGAUCUUGCUCCUCUGACGUUAGCGGCGGACGGGUGAGUAACACGUGUAUAACCUACCUAUAAGACUGGGAUAACUUCGGGAAACCGGAGCUAAUACCGGAUAAUAUAUUGAACCGCAUGGUUCAAUAGUGAAAGACGGUUUUGCUGUCACUUAUCGAUGGAUCCGCGCCGCAUUAGCUAGUUGGUAAGGUAACGGCUUACCAAGGCAACGAUGCGUAGCCGACCUGAGAGGGGGAUCGGCCACACGGGAACUGAGACACGGUCAAGACGCCUACGGGAGGCAGCAGUAGGGAAUCUUCCGCAAUGGGCGAAAGCAUGACGGAGCAAGGCCGCGUGAGUGAUGAAGGUCUUCGGAUCGUAAAAAUCGGUUAUUAGGGAAGAACAAAUGUGUAAGUAACUAUGCACGUCUUGACGGUAACUAAUCAGAAAGCAACGGCUAACUACGUG